GCCGAUGUGGCGGAACUGGCAGACGCGCUAGACUCAAAAUCUGGUGCCCGCAAGGGCGUGGGGGUUCGAGUCCCUCCAUCGGCACCA
rnacentral:tRNA from 1 species